rnacentral:rRNA from 1 species
GACGAACGCUGGCGGCGUGCUUAACACAUGCAAGUUGAACGGGUCAUAUGUGAAGGGUAACCGGAGUGUAUGGCUAGUGGCGAACGGGUGAUUAAUGCAUGAGAACGUAUCCUCAAGAGGGGGACAACAUUGGGAAACCGAUGCUAAUACCACAUAAGCCGGGAGGUAAAAGGAGGAAUCCGCUUGAGGAGCGGCUCAUGUCCUAUCAGCUAGUUGGCGAGGUAACGGCUCACCAAGGCGAAGACGGGUAGCCGGCCUGAGAGGGUGAACGGCCACACUGGAACUGAGAGACGGUCCAGACUCCUACGGGAGGCAGCAGUGGGGAAUAUUGGGGAAUGGGGGAAACCCUGAUGCAGCAACGCCGCGUGAGUGAUGACGGUCUUCGGAUUGUAAAGCUCUGUCUUUAGGGACGAUAAUGACGGUACCUAAGGAGGAAGCCACGGCUAACUACGUGCCAGCAGCCGCCGUAA